rnacentral:rRNA from 1 species
UACAGAGGUCCCAAGCGUUGUUCGGAUUCAUUGGGCGUAAAGGGUGCGUAGGCGGCGCGGUAAGUCGGGUGUGAAAUCUCGGAGCUUAACUCCGAAACUGCAUUCGAUACUGCCGUGCUUGAGGACUGGAGAGGAGACUGGAAUUUACGGUGUAGCGGUGAAAUGCGUAGAUAUCGUAAGGAAGACCAGUGGCGAAGGCGGGUCUCUGGACAGUUCCUGACGCUGAGACACGAAAGCCAGGGGAGCAAACGGG